UCGGGAAUUUUGGGCAAUGGAGGGAACUCUGACCCAGCCAUGCCGCGUGCAGGAUGAAGGCGUUAUGCGUUGUAAACUGCUUUUUAUAUAGGAAGAAAUAGUCCUUGCGAGGAAAGUUGACGGUACUAUAUGAAUAAGCACCGGCUAACUCCGUGCCAGCAGCCGCGGUAAUACGGAGGGUGCAAGCGUUGUCCGGAUUUAUUGGGUUUAAAGGGUGCGUAGGCGGUUUAUUAAGUCAGUGGUGAAAGACGGUCGCUCAACGAUUGCAGUGCCAUUGAUACUGGUAGACUUGAGUAUGAUUGAGGUAGCUGGAAUGGAUAGUGUAGCGGUGAAAUGCAUAGAUAUUAUCCAGAACACCAAUUGCGUAGGCAAGUUACUAAGUCAUAACUGACGCUGAGGCACGAAAGUGUGGGUAUCAAACAGGAUUAGAUACCCAGGUAGUCCCUGAGCGGGCUGGCAAGGCGCAU
rnacentral:rRNA from 1 species